UGAUGUAGAAUUGAGGUGAGUUAGGAUAGAGUAUGGUAAGAUGGGGAGCUCCGAUACUAAAAAGCAUUACUCAUGGAUGGGGUUAAGAAACGUCUAUUAUGGGUGUGGGGUUCUCAUCACUCAUACACCACACAUCGUGUUAAAGUGGACAAAGACUUUGGACUUGAUAGAGACAACUUCAAUAAAUUUAAUGGAUAAGUUAUUAAAAAUACUCUUUUGGUGGAUUUUUUUUGUUUACAUUUGACCAUUGUUUCUGUAUCAUGAAAAAAAAUCAAGUUAAGAUUUUAUUAUGAACGAUCGAUCGAUUAUAUUUGCUUUCUUCGUUUGCUCUUAUAUUGCAUGUAUCGUAAGACGCAGCUUAGAACGAUAUGUGGCUGUGUCCAAAGAAGAAUGGUCGAAAAGGGAAGGAAGCACGUCCCUUUAAUGCUUCCUGACCUGCCGAGCUAUUUCCGGAGCACUUGAUUGCUCCCAAGAAGAGGAAGGGAAUCCUCUCUCCAUCGCACUACCUCAAAACGGUGCCCGAGGCCCACCAUAGGUCACACAGAAGAAUCAAUAGUUGACACAGGCAAUUAAUCUAGCAAUAUUCUUUAGAUGAUGUGAUUCAUGAUCCAGGAUUAGUUGCUGUUAAGAGUUCUUACUUCUUUUGUAGUAGUAGUAGUAGUAGUAGUACGAAGUGAUGUGAAUGAUGAUGAUUCCACUGCAUAAAUGCCUCUGGCACUGUUAUUGGACCAUUGUGUCGGACAAAUGAAGGAACAACAUCAAUCAACUGUAGGUGGAUAAGAAAAUGGGAGCCACGUCUUCUUUGCUGAUAACUCUGUGUUCGUCUUGAGAAGAGAUCAGAAGAUGAUGGUGGCCUCUUAGUUGCAGGAUAUGCUCAUUUGAAGCUUCAGCUCUUGGAGAUGUGAAGGUGUUGUGAUUUGAAGGUAAUUCUGCAACUUCUUUUUCUGUAGGUUCAUUAAACAAGAAGGAAUGAUCAUUCAUGGGUUAUGUGACAAGUAGAUCUACUCGACCUAUCAGAUCUAAUCGAAUUGGAGUAAGAUAUUAUAUCAAGUAUAAGAUGUUGGGAAAAGUUCGUAUACGGUUGGAUAGUUGGUGGAACGUAGAUUUGGUAAAAUUUUUGAUCGAGGUAUUUCGUAAUUUGUUUAUUUGAAUUAGGUUUCUUGUUAAUGAUGAGUGUAAAUCGAAAAUAGAUAUUGAAAAAUAAUUUCUUUCCUUCAAAAUUUUGAUGUAACAUAUAUACUACUCAAAAUAUUAAAAUUCUUUAAAUCUAUUACUCUUUUAAUAAUCUAGAAUAUUCAAGUUAAAUGUGAUUAACCAUAAUUAGCAUUAUCUAUUUUGAGUUUUAAAAAAAGUAUAAAUACAUAAAAUAUUCUCUGUGUUUUUAAAGGACUAAUUAUAGAUUAGCCAUGUAGUCAAAUCUCUUUCUCAUCUCGAUUCCUAGAUUUAAAAAAUUGACAUUGGAAUCCCUAUAAUUAUGAAAGUAAAACAAUUAACCCCAUUUACCCUAAUGUCAUUAGUUUUACUAUUAAAACAGAAGAUGUAGCACGUGACAACACAUGUAGGAAUGACACGAAAACGAUGGACAAAAAGAUAAUUUUAAUGUCCUAGUUAUGUAUUCUUUCUUCUUAGAGGUGGUUGCGGAUGAUGACACCAUUGGGGUCAUGGAUGGCUGUUGUGAUUGUGAUUAGCGAGAAUGGUAGAUACAAUGGCCGAUGAGAACGAUGCAGGGAUGUCCUUAGAGAUGGGCCAGAUGGAGUCUUAGGGGUAGAGUUGAGGGACUAUUGUAGCUUCUUGUGAGAGGAGGAAGAGGAUGGCGCAGAUGUCGAUGCUUUGCAUCUAUAUCGAAGUUGCUUUACGUCAGCAUUUACGUCAUUCUCCUCCUCAUCUCCCUUUGUCUCACCUCUUAUUAUCGCUCUUCCUUUUCUCCCUCCUUCCCCUUCUUCCUCCCCUUUCUCGAUCCCUUAUUCUUCUUCCCCCUUUCGCCGCUCUACAUCUACGCCGAUACUGAUCCAGAUGUCAAGCAAUACCAACAUAGAUACAGAGUGUGGACAUCUACGUCGUCUUCUUCCUCCUCUCCUUUGUUUCACCUCUCGUUGUCACUCUCCCUCAUCUUCUCCUCCUCCCCCUUUUUCCCCUCUUGCUCGAUCCAUCAUCCUUCUUCCUCCUUUCGUCGCUUUGCAAUUGCGUCUUCUUCCUCCUCUCACUUUGUCUCACCUCUCGUCGUCGCUCUCUCUUUCAUCUUCCUCCUCCGUCUCCUCCCAUUGCAAGAAACCAUAAAAACCCCUCAACUCUACGGAUUCCACCCGGCUCGUCUCUAAAGAUAUCCCUGUAUCGUUCUCGUCGACCACUGUGUCGUUCUCACCAAUCACAAUCAUAACAAUCACCCAUGACUCCAAUGACAUCGUUAUCUGCCACUACCACUAAAAAGAAAGAAAACAUAAUUAGGACAUUAAGAUUAACGUUUUGAUCAUCAUUUUCGUGACAUUCCUACACGUGCGUCAUGUGCUACACCUUCUGUCAAUAAAACCAACGAUAUUAAAGCAAAUGAGAUAUAAAAAAAACUAACUACAUGAAAUAAUCUAUAAUUAACUCACUUUUAGAAGGCAUUAAUGUCUUUAUAACUUCAACUAAUAGCCAAAUGAUAACUAGCUGACACAAAUUAACCACAAUGUCAUAUGCAAGUUUUUAAGAUUUUUUAAAGAUUUUUUUAAUUAUGUGGAUACAUAUAUCAAAUUAUUUUACUAUCUGGCAUGAACAUUUACUGAUCAAGGAAUCUUCUUCUGGAGACAGGUAAUAAAGAUGUGAAUAAAACAAGCAUUUAUUUCUCUUUUUCUACUGCACUCAUUUGUUCAAGAAACACCUGAAGCAAUACCUGACAUUGAGAGUUACUUGGGGAGCCUUCAAUAUCUUGGAUAAUUACCAUUGUUUCCCUCCAGGAAUUGUUUUGAGAGCUUCAACCUAAUGUUCUGUGAUCAACCAUUUUGUAACAGAGGCAUCAAAUAUAUAUGAUGCACAUUACUUCUUUUUUUGUAUUUUUCACUGAUGCUCAUCAGGUGUGAUCCUACUGUGUUACAGAGCAAACAUAGUUGCAUCCUGCUAUUGUAUUAAAUAUCAUGCUGAGGGCUUGAUCAAAAUCUUCUGUUCUCUGUAUCAUUGAAUUAAAUUUGCAUGCAAUCUAGCAUUAGCUCCUGAAAGCAUGUGCAAAGUCUCCAUACAUUGCAAGUCAUACAUGAGGCAGGUCCCUAAGUUUGGUCAUGUGACAACCUUGGUGGUAUGCCAAGCAAGCUGAACAGUGUAAUUGAUAAAUACAUGUGGCAACUCUCAGAACUUCUUAGAUUAUUUUCCAAAGAUGUUAUAGGUGAUAUUUUUCAUAACCAAGCACAAUUUAGAAUAAAUUUUGAAGAAUUUGACUCCAUUUUGAUACAUUUGAUGCUAUAAAGAAGUGUAAAAAGAAUGAAAAUUAACUGAACAAAACUGCCUGCAUAAGAGAAGGAGAAUUAUGAGAUGCACAAAACUUACAAAUCUGGAUCCAGCAGAAACUACAGCUAAGUGGCCCACAUACCAGAUUACAAUCAUAGAUUGGGCAAAGUCAGUUCUAUAAUUAAUAAUUAAGAAAGCUUUUUGAGAGCUUUUGCCAAAAGAACUUGCUGACACGAGAAGUUAAAACCAGCCAAGGAACCAUCCCAACCUGUAUUUAGAUCAGUGAAAUAGUACAAGGUCAUGGAAGAAAGAAAUUCCAGGAGUCAUUGUGUUUGAUAUACAACUAGUAAUGAGCUUACCAUGAUUUGGCCUGUGACAGCAUCUCCAGCCCUCCAGGACAAUAUCUUGCCUGCCAAAUCAAGAUGACAUCAGUCUUUUGAUGUUGGGUCAAUUGCGAGAUGCGGUGCACAUAGAGAAACUGAUAUGUUACAGAUGAUAGAAAGGGAAAUAAACAAAUAAGCAUAAAAAAUUUGCUCAACACACUAGUUUUUAUGCUUUUGGGUUGAUAGAGGUCAUAAUCCUUGAUCCUAGCCCGCCCAAGAUAAGUUGGUUUGAAAAAAUCUGUUGGUCAGAUCAACUUUGGACCAUCCAAAUUGAACCUGAUUAGGAUUGGGAGGUACAUGUUUACCUCUGAACUAGGAGGCCAAAUUAUUGGUGUCAAUCAACAUGAAUAAAUCUGGGUAAUCUAGUGUUUGAACAGAUGGAUUGGAUAAAAAGCUCAAUAGAUAAACAACAGAAUGGGUUUUUAAAUUUUUUGCAUUCUCUAAUCCCUCAAGCGACUUAAUAAAUUCGAUAUUUCUUCAGCAUACAUUCAGAGAUUCCCUAUAACACUACAGUGUGUAUCAUCCAACAGUGAAUAACACCUUGGCACCAUAGAAAUCAGCACCAUCCUCCUAUUAAUUAGUUUAUUUUUGUUAGAAUUUAUUUAAACAUUAUUUGUUUGACUUCAACUUGACUGAACCUUAGUUGGUUGGCUGUGAUUGAAUCUUCUACCAUAACAAUAAAUGGGUCAUAAUCUCAGCAAAUUUAUGUUGACCAUAAAACAGCCAGAUCCAACCACAACUAAAAUUGCCACACCUAGGUAAAAAAUAGCUUCUGGAAUUUGUCAUAGUCUAGAACCAGUUAAAAUAGUAGCCAAAGAACAAGAAUGUGAUCAUUUUGUCCCUCCCUACCUAAACCCAAACAUAAACGAGCACUUCUCCGUGGGCCAGCCAUUCUUAAAUCGUAAGUCUAAUUAUUUAGUGCAUCACACCAUAUAUGCAAUAAACUUUAUGUGAUCACUUUCAGCAAAUACUAAAAUGAAUGCUCAAUUUUCAUAAAAGAAUAGCCUGGAGCCAAAAUUAUGGUUGGUCCACAAUUCUAUGUUUUUUACACUUUCAAUGAUCUAAUGACAAGCAAUCUAAUAUUUCAAUAAGCUAAUGACAAACAAUUUGUUUCCUGUUUUAUAUACUGAUCAUAAGAAUAGAAGGCAGAAAUACUGGACAAGAAAACUCAGGAAUGUCUGCUUCGAUGUGUAACCCGGCAAUAAUAGAUGUGACCAACUUAUUAAGAUAUUUUAUUUCCAUUUCAUAAAAGUGAAACAUAAAUAGGUUAACUAAAUGUAGCAACAUUAUUCAACAUAAAUUUGUAGGCAAUGUUGAUUAUUUCAAUUUCAGGGAGAAAAUGGCCUAUAAGUGCGUUACCAAAAGGUUGCAACAGAUGCUGAGGAACUGCUGCAACAGGAACCCCCCAGAACCGCAAGACAAGUGCAGCAUAGAGCAGUACCUAGCAGAAGUGAUGGUCAAUGAAUCCUUGACUCCAGAAAAAGAAAGAAUAUGGAUACUCAUUUUACCUUAGAAACCAACAGGGCCCUUCCACACAACUCAUAAGACCAGGAUUUCUCCUUGUUGUGCUCCUCCUGUUCUGCAUUUGCAUUAAACAAGUAAAAGGAAAUGCUCAGAGAACUAGAAGUAGAGAGAGAUGUAGAUAAUAUUCAAAAAAAAAAUCAAUGCACAACUAUUUCUGUGUCUGGAACCCUAAGCACUUAGGUUGCAGAGGAGAGAGCUUGACGUUGUAUCAAGGCCUACCCUCUGCAUAAUAACUGAAGAAAGAUAAGGAAAGUAGCAAAGAAAUGUUUGCAACAAGCACACCACUUAAUUUAAUGAAAUAACCUAAUAUUUUUCCCAAUUGAUCAGAACCUAGCAUUAAUAUAUACCAAGUCAAAAAGAACAGAAAAAUCAAACUGAUCUCAAAUCUAAUACUCAUCGAACUAGAAUCCAACUAUAUCUAGAAAACCUAAAGUUCAACCCCUAAUUAAAUGAAAAAAAUCCAUCCAGAUACAAGUGAAUUAAUUACAACUAAUAAAUUCAAGAUAUAACUUGGUACGAAAUGACACCUUAUUAGAAGGAUUGAAGUAGAUCAUACAGUCUAUCAUUAUCAUCUUCCAUUACUAUGCAAAUAUGCAUUUAAAGAAUAAUUCACAAUGUAUUGCACCUGAGUGAGGCCUAUCAAUUGCAGACUAUAAACCUUGCUCAAAUAUACAUCCCUUUAUAUAGAUCCAAGUUAAGGGAUUGAUCUAUUAAUUGGAGAAUACUGGGACAUCAGUCAAAGUAGCAUGAAAAGUUCUUCUAGAUAGAACCACACACGGAAAGACAGUUAUUAUCUCACAUGCUGUUAUGAUCGCAAAGAACUUGGUUCCCAUAACCUAAGCCCAAAUGAAAUAUCUGGAGAAAUCAAAAUGAAAAGAAAAAUAACUGCAAUUUACAUACUUUUUAGUAGCUCCUUUUCCUUGGCCGCAGCCAAUCGCCUAAGCUUUGCAGAUUGAGCAAAGGUUGAGGGCCUGCAGUAAAAGGAAAACAUUAAUAGACCAUUCCCAAAAUAUACGCAAUAUAUGCAUACUUAAGCAAGCAUAAUGAGGAAACUGCCAGAGACCAUACUUAAUAUUUGACUUGACAUGCCAUAAAGGGUUACAAGAAGCUGCCUAUCCUAAAAACAAAAAUUUGAAUGACUGUAAAUUUGUAAUACAAUUAUCUCUUCUGGGGGUUGUUUGAUCACCUACGUUGAUAAGGAGCUUGCCUCUUUCAAAAGUUGCUUGAUUUCUUUUCGCAAUUGAACUUCUUCAGCGCUCUUCAUCCCUUUCUGUAAAGGCAGUGUUACUCAAGAAUACUCAAAAGGUCCUCAUAAAAGUCAUCAAAAUUCACAUAUUUACAUAAAUAUAUUCUAGAAGAAAAAAUCAGUAUCUUAUAGAACAACUAAUAUCAUUUGCACUAAAUAAGAGCAAUAUGAUCGAAGAAAGGUCGAGAAAGAGAAACAAAAGGGCAAGGGAUAAAAGUUGCAGAAGAGAGGAAAAAAUUGUACCACAGUUGAACUCACAUAUAAAUAUUUACUUACAGGAACCAGCAAGUAGAUAUGACAGAGUGAAGUUCAAUGUCUAUAGAAAGAAUAAAAUCUAAAGUGAAAUAUAUGUUUAGAAAAAAAGUGUAAAUCGAAAUGUCUAACAGCACAGAGCAGCAGAAAAUGUCUGUGCAUGCAGCUAAAUGUGAAAUUUUGAAACGGAUGCAUCUUGACAAAAAAAUUAUUCUCCAACCAUCGAGGCUCCAUGCCUAAAACCAUUUCAGAAUUAUAGAUAGAAACCGAAAAACACACAAAUCAUUCUGGGGGAAGACACAUUUUGCUUCAUGCACCAGCAUACAUGCAACUGAACCUUAAGGAAUUAUAGAUGGAAAUAAAAAAUAAAAAAACUUAAAUCAUUCUGGAAAAAAAUUCAACCCUGAAAAGAAGAUAGUGGCAAUCAACAAAUUAUAGCCAGUCGAUUAUGGUGAUGUAGUAACUAUCAGCAAAGAAAAAAAAUCAGUAUUUCAUAAAUCUGAUUAAAGAAGUUACUGGCAAUAGACAAAAUGAUUAAGUUAACCUCCAUUCAAAAUAGGCCUUAUAAUAAUCAAAACAAAGAUUUUCAUGUUCCAGGAUUCAAAGUUUGAAAAUAUGUUCCUUGAGAUAUAUUAAUCUUAGUCCAAUUCCAAUAAGUGAAACUAUUUGAAUUUCUAUACAGGUCCCCAAAGUGUGGUGCUUAAAGCCUUAUCUUAAAGGAACAUUGGGAAAAAUGUAACAAACUUGUUUCAGCAAUAUCAUUUCAAGUUAUACUGAUUCAUUAAUAAUCCAACACUAGAUAUAUAUUCAACAGAGUACUCCAUAAUCCAUAUGCAUUGUCAAAUUUUGGUCGAUAAUAAGAAUUCUGGUAUCACAAAGUUGCUCAAUAACAAACAAGUCAAACAUUUUAGCCAUAGUUUGAUUGCUCUAUAAAUAUCAAGAAUAGCUAGCCCCACAAUCAUUAUAUUUUUUAAGGAUUAAUAGAUAGCCUUAUGUUAAUUCAGCCUCCAAUUAGAAAAGAGAGCAAGACACAAAAGAAACUGGAUAAUUCUUAUUCAUUGCUUGUAAAGAGAUGGCUCCUGGCUUACAUAAUUACACGAUCAAUUACAGUCUAAAUAGAUAAAACUAAUAAAGUAUCCUUUUAUUCCCAAGUAACAAAAGAGGCAGCUACCUGCCAACCUAUAACGCAUCAUGACACUUUCUAAAUGAUACCUGAGAAAACUAUAUAAUAAUCAAUUAGCUCCAUGUUGAUCAUUUCCUCAAGAUGAACUAUUAUUGCAAAAUAUAGAUUAAAUGGCUCAUUUUCAAAACAAAGAAGCCAAGUACUCGAGGAUUAGACAAAAUGAUUAAUGACAUUAAACACAACUGUUUCAAGUGUUUGAUCAAUAGCAGGUUACGCAGAUGCAUGAGAAUGCUUUAAAAUAAAUAGUUGUUAAAUCAACAAUUCCUUCGCAAUAAAGGGACACCCAGUGUAUAAGGUUCCUGGGUCUGAGUCUCAAUGCAUGCAGCCUUAGCCUUGUAAGGAAAGAGGUUAUUCAAUUAACAAAUCCUUGAAAAUUUCCUCAAUUUAUUCUUAAAAGUAUAACCUUCAUCACCUCUUGACAUUUACAAGAAGCUCUUCUUAUGUAACAGUAUCAACUAGGUCUAAAAAUCAAGAAUGUUGAUCUUGUGGAUUCUUGGCUUAUUCAGCAACUUUGUGGCUUACACAAUGGAGUAUGUAAAGAAGCUAACUAUUUAUUUUCUAGCAUUAAGACAGAGGAUUGUUGACCAGGCCUUGUUCUUCUUCCAAUUGAGCUAAGCCAAUGGGGAUUAACAUAAUUGAUGAAUGAACACCUACCAUCAUGUCUCAAAUCCUCUAUAGGAGCUCAACCAAAAUAAAUACAUCAUAUCAAUCUUGUGGGUAGACAGUUAGUAGUUCAAAGCAAGCCUGACAUUCCCAAAUUGGAUGACCUCAACACUUAUCAAGCUUUGCAAAUGUCAAGAUUAGUAUACAAAAUUGCAAGUUGUUAUUUGAUCAUCUUAGAAAAUAAGCUCUUCUACACUCGUAGCUAAAUUAUCCCCCAAAAAUAUUUGCUCUAAUAACAACUGAUAUAAUGUUCAGCCCAUAUUAGGUAACGUUGAGCACUAUAGUAGGUUGAAAUCCAAUUAGCAAUAGAGAAAGAGAGAAUAAGCAAAAGUAAAUAGAGAAGAUAAACAAGAAAAUAAUUACUGUUUCCUUAAACAUAGACAGCCCAUGGUCCAUCAGUUUAUAAACUCAAUUACAUAUAACCCAUUUGGGAGAUUAGAGUAGGCAACAUUAUCCUUUUGUUAAUGAAUAAUUUUACGAAACUUAACCAUUUGAAAGUAAGAUGCUGAAAAGGAAACAGGAAAUCUCUCGAUUCCAAUAGCGAUAUAUAUUUCAGCAAAGCAGUUCCUAACAAGCAAAACAUUGUUCUUCAUUGCUUACGAAUUCUGUUCGCCUUCACAAUUGCAUAAGACAGAGCAUCAAUUAACAGAGUACCAUAAGCAUACACAAGAUCGCUUCACGCUAGAUCUUCACCGUAGAUCAAACUCUACUCCGCAAAACAAUGAUUAUUCCGAAAAGAUAACUAAAUGUUAACCAUGCUUUCUUAGAGCAGAACCCAAAAUAUGAAUCGUGAAGGGAAAUCCCAUGCUAUCUCAACGGAGAGCACAGAAACAAGAGAAAGAUUCUGGGAGAACUGGCCCUGCCGAUCUGCACUCGCUUACCCUUUUGACGAGCUCGAGGAGGCCAUCGAGGGUUUGCAGAACGACUACGAGGAGGAAGAUGAAUAGAGGAGAGAGGAAGGCGUCGCCACCGCCCGAAGUGCCGCCGUCCAUCCUUGAGGAAGGCGGAGAGAGAGAGACAGAGGAGAUAGAGAGAGAGAGAGAGAGAGAGGUGGCGAUAGGGCGGGCUAUUUGGGGUUUUGUGAAGGGAAAGCGAUACUGCCGGCUUAAGCAGCGGUCCUAACGCGGUCCAAAUGAGACUGAUCACUAAAACCCGGUUCAUGGACCGAUCCGAAAAAUAAACCGGCUUUGGGGAAUUAUCUUGAUUCUAGGAUUUGUUAUUGGUCCAUCUAAAUGACUUCCCAAAUUAAUAGGAUUUACAACACUAAUUUAACAUGAUCAAAUAUCAUCAAAAAAAUGUUUCAUGAUAAUAAAUCAUAUGGAUAUAGAAAGUAUUAGGAUCCUAAAAAUUUUGACAAACACUCUCGAUCACCAUUUAUCUUAAAUUUAUUGAUAAUAAAUCUUAUUUAAAAUGCCAAGUCAACACACACUUAGGAUGAUUAUUAGAUUAUCAUAUCAAGCUAAGAAUAUAUAUAUAUAUAUAUAUAUAUAUAUAUAUAUAUAUAUAUAUAUAUAUAUAUAUAUAUAUAUAUCCUUGGAUCUAUGCAAUGGGAAUCAUAUCGUGAUGAGAUCAUGAUAAUGAGACCGAUUCGUCUUUAAACACAGAUAAUAAAUAAUCCUGGUCAUAGGUUACUUGAUAGGAACAUCGAGAUAAUCGGACAUACUAGUAUGUUGUAUAUCCAUUCAUAUGAUGGAUGUAGUUGGUCUUAUAGUUGCUUGUAUGGAGACAUUAGGGAUACAAUACAGGUGCUCAUUGGGGAAUGAGUUCACUGAUUGAUCUGCUUACGGAAUGCUGAAUGGUUUAUGAUGCCUUAUUAUUAGAUAACGAUUCAGUAGUCUCAGUGGUGUAUCUGGUUCUUAGACUUAAGACAUCAAUGAUGUCUUGUAUGAGUGCUCCACUCUUUGAUACCGAACUUAUAGGUUUGAAUCUCCCAGCUCUAGCACAACCGGUUAUCGAGAGUGAUAGUCAAUCUUAUGAAGGCUAUUGAAUGUCGAUAGAGGAUCAUCCACUCUCAGUGUCAUGAGAGGAAUGUCUCAUGUGUUCUUGCUCAAACAAAUCUCUGGCCAGAGUCAUUCGGAUUGAGAGAAAAAGAGUUCUCCGAGAGAAUCCGAUUAGAGUGAGACUCGAGUAGAAACCAUAUAGGUCUGAUACCAUGCCCAGUAUACAGUAUUUGGGAUAUUAGAUGGAUGAGAGACUAUAUGUAUACAGUAACCGAUGAUAAACAUAUCAAAUGGAUUAGAUUCCCUUGUAUCGUUUGGGGACUGCGACAUAGUGACCAAGUACGUCCGCAGUCGAUGAGUCGAGUGAAUUAUUAUGAAGAUAAUAAUUCACUAAGCUAGAAGGAGUUCUGACAUGUAUGACUCACGGUCAGCUCGAUAUUUGGCCUAGAGCAAUGAGUAGAGAUUCGGAUAUGAGAUAUCCGUCAGAGCCCAUAUCUUAUUGGAUAUCCAUGAAUUAUUGGAUCAUAUGAAUGAGAUCCAAUAAGAACCCAUGAGAGAGUAUUGAAUAGAGAUCUACUAAUUUAAGAGGUUUGGAUUGUUAGAUGAAGAUCUAAUACCUAAUAAAAAAUGAUCUAAUACCCAAUAAAUUUUUACUAUGGAUAUCAUUGCGCUAUAUACCUUGCCCACAGACAUACUACGCAACAAUAGGACGUCGGUGUUCGGCUUCGGAAUGCACCAUCGUUUUGAAUCGGAGUGUGUUUGGGUUCAGUGUUUGCACUGCAGCGGUGGCGUGACCUCCCACCUGCAAGAAAAAGACAAGAGAAGAAGAUCCACCCGCGUUGGUCUGAAGUUAUUGGGAACGAGGCUCUCUACCUCUGUUGUUAGGACUCCGAUGUAGACGGGCAGCAGAUCAGGAUGAAACAGGCCGAAGUUCCGCUGGGAGAGAGGCCCGGGCUUCAGGUUCUCGUCGAAGAGCGAGAAGAUGUACGCCUCGAAGGUGCGGUUCGGCUUGAGCGGCGUGUCGGUGCCGGAAGAGACGUGCUGCACCAGGUUCUUGUUGUAGUCCCGGGCGUUAUCGACGUUGACGCCGAGCUCCCGUGGGUCGCCGACCGACGGCCACCCCGUCUCAGAUAUCACGAUGUCGACGUCGUCGAAGCCCAAGCGCUUGAUGGCGGAGAAGACGGCGUCCAGUUGCCCGUCCAACAUGUUGGAGUAGACCAGCCCCGUGUUCUGGUCCUCCACGCCGGGGUUCAGCCGGAACAGGGCGUAGUCGACCGUGUCGACGGCGAAUCGGAAGAACGGGUGCGCGUUCACCGUGAAAGGGGAGCCGGUGGCUCUCAAGAAGCUCAGCAACGGCCUCAUCACCUCGGCGACACGCCCUUCCCUGAACUUUCCGGUGGACGGGGGGUUGGAGGUGGAGAGGACGCCGAGGGACUGCGGGGAAGCGACCUUGAUGCGGUGCUGCAGCGACAAGCUGGUGAGGACGGUGUGCAGGUUCUGCAUGGCCGGCACGAGGCUGGAGACCAGUGACCUGUUGGCCGUGGAGAUCACCUCGUUGCCGACGAGUAUGCGGGCGUUGUUGGUGUCGUCGACACGAGGGACGAUGUUGGUUCGCACCCAUUUGUGGGCGAAUCUGAGGUCGAAGAGUUUGACGCAGUCGAAGGUGGCGCUGUGGGCGAGGACCUGCGCGACUUGGACAGGUGGGGGGAGAUUGCUUGCGGCUCUGCCGUAGCUGAUGCCAAUGCCGGCUCCAUCAACAGCUGAAUCAACGAACAGAGCAGAGAUCACAAAGGAGCCGACACAUAUCACCGACAGAUACAAAAGGAUGGUGAGGUACCUUUGAUCGUCCAAACCAUGAAGAGGAUGGAGAGAGUGGAAAUGGCUGCAGCCAUGGUUUCUUCCGCAACCAGCUGCACGAAAGAUGAACAGACAAGAAGAUAGCCGUGAAGGGACACGUAGCUAAAGACAUUAACGCUGGAUUCUUUGCUUUGGCCAAGGGGGAUUCUUGGCAAUCAAAUCUUGUGCAUCGAGGUCCCAACUUUGGAGCUUUUAGCUUUUGCUUUCGCUUUGCUUUAGCGUUUCAUUUCUUUCAGAGAGAAGCUGGUGACAUCUAAAGCAUAUUACCAAUCACGUACUAACUUCACCAAACAUUGCUUAGAUUAAGGCAAAAAUAACUAUGAAAUAAUUAAUUCUGGCUUAAUCAAAUGGUUAGUAAAUAUUUAAUGAUGUCAAAUAAAUGCAAUGUUAUCUUGAUAAAUAUAAUCGUCAUCUAAUUACGACCAAUCUGCAAAGAAAUGGUUUUAGCAAGCAGAUCUUUUCUAGUGGAGUCUUUCUCUUCUCAUAAGCAUAUGCAUGUAUCUUCCCACAACAAUGGUAUAUAAUGAUCUCACUCAAAGAUAGAAAAUUCAUUGCUUGGCACUCACUUCGAGCCUUCCGCAGAUAAGAACAUUCAAUUUUGCAGUUAUACACUAUUAAUAUACAAUGAACAAAGUGUUGACCGGAUAAGAGUAGAAGCAUUAUUUUGUGGAUGUCAACACGAAGAGAUGGCAAGCACGGCUGCCUUCGCUUGCUGUCAUCAAUCCGGUCAACAUUCAAUCUCGCAAUUGACGAAAAGAAUAGAAGAGGAAUAAUAUCUCCCCAAAAAGAAUAGAAGAUAAAGAAUAAUUAUAAGAAUAAUUAUUGAAGAAGCUUUAUUGAAACUUUAUUCUGUUGAGGAUUUUCAUCAACAGAUAUUUCUCAUAUAGUUGGAAAAAUCUUAUCUUCUAUGAUACAAAGCUUCGCUUUUCUCAACACGAAUAAUUAUUGAAGAAGCUAAAAAUAAAAAUGCUUCAAUAUUAAUAUGUUCGUUCUCCUAUUUAUACAAAUUAGGAGAAGAUUUUUCUCAAGAUUUUCCUCAAUAAAUUUGCUCGAGCAAAUCUUUAUCUUCUAUCACAUCAUCCUUCUGCCCAAAAUGUGCCACAGUUGACGCCGACUUCUCCCUUGGGCUCCUCUCGUAGUUGGCCCUUCAUGAUUCCAAAGGACCACCACCAUCGGCACUCGGCCGAAAGCACCAAACCAAGGCGCUCUCGCUUCUAUAUAUAUACCGGACGACGCCGAAACCAAGGUCGAACGAACACAAGCACCAUGGCCACCAACGCGGCCAACCCCUGCGAUGGCGAAACCGUCGAGGACAAGCCGGACCGCGGUAUCCCCGCGACGAUCCUCGCUGCGGCCCGCGCCAACCUUCUCUUCCGGUCGAGGUGGGCGGAGGUCAACGGCGCCUUGGGUGACCUGGGCACCUACAUCCCCAUCAUCAUGGCCCUGGCGCUCGCCAAGGACCUCGACCUCGGCACCACCCUCGUCUUCACCGGCGUCUACAACAUUAUCACCGGCGUCAUCUACGGCGUGCCCAUGCCUGUCCAGCCCAUGAAGUCCAUCGCGGCCGUGGCCAUCUCCACCUCGAGCUUCGGCGUGCCGGAGAUCAUGGCCGCCGGAAUAUGCACCUCCGCGGUGGUGUUUUUGCUGGGUGCAACUCGUCUCAUGGAGCUUGCGUACAAGUUCAUCCCCCUCCCCGUCGUUCGCGGCAUUCAGCUGGCUCAAGGCCUGUCCUUCGCGAUGACCGCCGUCAAGUACGUCAGGUACGACCAGGAUCUCGCCAAAGGCAAGGCUUCCGGCGACAGGCGUUGGAUGGGCCUCGACGGCUUGGUCUUGGCCAUAGCGGCCACCGUGUUCGUUGUGAUCGUCAACGGUGCUGGUGAGGCAGCAGAACAGGGUCGGGAGGAGCAAGUCAUCCAUGAACAAGGCGGGGGACGAAGAAGAGCCAAGUCUUGGAGGAAAGUGAUCUUCUCUGUUCCUUCAGCUGUGGUUGUCUUCGUGCUCGGCAUAAUCUUAGCUAUAAUAAGGGAGCCCGGCGUGGUGAAAGAGUUGAAAGCAGGUCCAUCGCGCAUCCACGUAGUGAAGAUCUCCAAGCACGCAUGGAAGGAAGGAUUCAUCAAGGGCGCAGUGCCGCAGCUACCGCUGUCGGUGCUCAACUCCGUGAUCGCGGUGUGCAAGCUGACGACCGACUUGUUCCCCGACAAGGUCGCAUCGGCGACGUCGGUGUCGAUCACGGUAGGGCUGAUGAACCUGGUGGGCUGCUGGUUCGGGGCGAUGCCGUGCUGCCACGGCGCGGGGGGGACUGGCGGGGCAGUACAAGUUCGGCGGGCGGUCCGGCGCGUGCGUGGCUCUGCUGGGGGCGGCGAAGCUGGCGGUGGGGCUGGUGCUGGGGGGGUCGCUGCUGAGGCUGCUGAUGGAGUUCCCGGUGGGGCUGCUGGGCGUACUGCUGCUGUUCGCCGGGGUGGAAUUGGCCAUGGCGGCGAGGGACAUGUCGAGCAAGGCGGAGUCGUUCGUGAUGCUCAUCUGCGCCGCGGUGUCGCUGGUUGGCUCCAGCGCUGCGCUCGGGUUCGUGUGCGGCAUAGUGGUGCACGUGUUGGUCGUGCUGAGAAGGCUGCUGACGACUGAUCGUAACAUGUGAUGCAACGUCGCUCUAAUCAGCCUAAAAUCUAUAAAGCUAAUUGUUGUCUUGUUGCUUGAUAUGUUUGUUUAUAUAUUAAUGUAAUUUUAUAUUUCUUAAAUCAUAAAUUGUUUAAGAAUAAGUGAUGUAUUUGAUAGAAGAUAUGAUUUCUACGAUUAUGAGAAAAUCUAUCUAUUUUGUUGAAGGAAAUCCUCGAUGAAGGUGAGGGAAAGAAGAUAAAGAUAAGAGUGGCCGUUGCCGUAGAUCAUGCAUGCAUCUAAUAUGUUUCUCUCGAUAAACAGGUGACACUGCUUUGAUGCAGACUCGCUUCACAUCGCAUCAGAAACACAUCACCACAGGUGGCUUCAAUCAAAGAAAGCGAUCGAUUCCACAAGGGAUACGUCGGGUGGCGAGGGGCGCCCGUCCUACCCCGCGGAUGACGACAUAGGGACGGAUGGAAUCCGGCAAAUCACGAGCCUCCAAGUAAAAGCAUGGCUAUCUGUGUGGUGGGGGUGGCUGCGUUACCCAUUCGUCGCUCGCUCUCUCUCCCGUGGUCGUGGUUGUUUCCUUCCCAGUAGCACGCAGUAAUGAACGACGAUGGUUGUGGUCAGCGUCGGUGGAACUCAUCAACCCUACUUCAUCAAUCAAUUCGGCCACGCGUUCGUCUUAGAAAAGAAACGCGUCGGGGAAUGAUCGGAAAAGCUUAUAACGCUAGAGAUAAUAACAAGGCAAAAUAAGGGCAUAGAAUAACGGAGUGAAAAAGGAAAGGAUGGUCGAAGAAUCAGCAUGGUUCGAUUUAAUUCUGGAUGUACAAGGUCACAUAUAAUGAUGGAAGGCCACGUGGGUCAAUCUAAUUGUCUCACGUUUACCGACUUAAUAUUAUCGAGAGAGGGGUUUCUUUGAUUUGGUCUCAUAAUAUGACAUAUCACAUAUAUACAUAUUUAAUAUAUAUUUAUAUCUCAUCCAGAUAUAUAUACAUAUAUAAUAUGUGUAUAAGCAAUCACACAUCACAUGAGCAAUCACACCAGAAGAUCAUGGACCACACAGCCUUAUGUGAUUAGGUCUGAGCUAGUGGGUCUAAUCACUCACAUCAAGAUCUAUGUGUAUAGUGAUGCAUCUCAUUGCCUUGUGAUCACCCAUCUCAUUCUCGUCGGUUCCGUCGACAUUUCGACGUAUUUUUAUGCAUCGUGAUUGUCCGUCUCGUGGGUCCCGUUAUCACUUCCACUCUCCUAUUGCGCCAAUCGUUUGAUUACAACUUAAUCAUAAGUACAUAAACCCAACAAUAAAUGAGAAAUAAAAUGAAAGCUUGUAUGCCCCAAUAAUAAUAAUCACAGUUACACAUAUCACACGGUCAAUAAUCAUCCGUCCACAUAUCAUACAUCACAUGUACACAUCAUCAUCAUAUAGGACUACUAGAUAAUAAAAGUAAUAAUAAUUAAUUAAAAUUUUUAAUUAAUUAUUAUUUUCUGAAAUUAGGGACAUGUAGGGAAUUUUUGAAUUAUGAAGGGUAUUUUCUUAAUUUUGAUAAAAAUAGAAAUUUCUCAAAUUUAUAAAGGCAAAAUUAUCUUUUGCCUAGAAAAUCGUAAAUCCCCAUCUUUGCUGCUUGUUGCGGUCGCCGCCACACUGCCGACGACGUCCCUCUACGGCGGUAGCAGGGCCGCCGCCCCUGCGGGCGUUGUGCCCGCAGGUGCACCACCUACAGGCGCCACUGCCCCCGCGGGCAACGAGUGGUUCUGCCCACGGGGACAGCGCCUGCAGGCACUGCACCUUGUCGGGGCAACGCUCGCAGGCACCACCCAUUGCGGGUGGCUCCCCCGCGGGCGAGCGCCACCCUUGCAAGCAGUGCCCGCGGGUGGGGCAGCUGCGGGCUGCUAGGCCCCAUCGGUCGCAAGCCUGCUGCUACACGUGCAACGCUUGUGCAUGCGCUGGCACUAUGCUGCCUGCCUGUGCCUGUCGCUGCACGCACACAGACGGUAGCAAGCUGCCAUCUGCGAGGGCAACAACAAUUGCUGCCCCUUUUGCAUCAAUGAUUUUGACGUCAAAUACUUCUUCAAAACAUAACACAUGCAGUUCAAAACUAAUCUUUCCUAUGAACAAUCUGGCUUUAAUACUACUGUUAGGAAAUUUGAGGGACGAUAUCACAUGCGUAGCGGAAGAAUAUUAAAAACAAAAUCUCAAAUUUCCCAAAGAUAUAUUCAUCGUCAUACGAAGAUUAAUGCGCAAAAUUCGUAAAACAAAAAACUACGUAUAGUAAAGAUUAUGUUACCUAGGGAGAUCAUAUAUCCCUGAAUCCCUAUAGAUCCUUAGGAGAGGGUGAAAGAGAUUAAGCGUCCUCCUCUCUAGCGGUGAUCCAUACAAUAGGGCUGCGACGACACUCAUCGAAACUCCAUGCCUGGUCUGAGGAGGAGAAGGGAAGGAGAAUAGGAGAGGCAAUCCAAAAAGUUUCUAGCAUAUGAACCAUUGAAUCCCUCCUAUUUAUAAAGGUCACUUAUCAACUUAACCAUAAUGGUUUCUGCCCUAUUUGGUAUUGGAUCUCCAUCCAACUACCUAAGCCUCUUAGAUUAGUGGAUCUCUAUCUAAUAAUCUCUCAUGGGCUUUUAUUGGAUCUCAGAUCUAAUAAUUCAUGGGCUUAUUGGAUAUCCAAUGAGAUAAGGGCUCCGGCGGAUAUCUCAUAUCUGAAUCUCUACUCAUCGCAACGCCUAUCAUAUGUGUGUGACCCUCUAGGCCCAAUAUCAAGCUGGCCAUGAGUCAUAUAUGUCAGAACUCCUUCUAGCUCAAUGAAUUAUUAUCUUUAUAAUGAUUCACUCAACUCAUCGACUACGGAUGUACUAUGCUACUACGCCGUAGUCCCCAGACGAUACAGGAGAAUCCAAUCCAUUGGACAUAUUUGUCCUCAGUUACAAUGUACCUAUAGUCCCUCAUUCAUCUAAUAUCUCAGAGAGCGAAUACCAGGCAUGGUGCUAUCAGACCCAUACGGUUUCUACUCGAGUCUCGCUCAAAUCGGAUUCUCCCGGAGAACUCUUUCUCUCUCAAUCUGAAUGACCUUGGCCAUGGAUUUGUUUGAGCAAGAACACAUGAGAUAUUUCUCUCAUGACAUCAAGAGUGAAUGAUCCUCUAUCGAUACUGAAUAGUCAUUGUAAGGUUGACUAUCACUCCCAAUGUCCGGUUGUGCUAGACCUGGAACCUCCAGACCUAUAAGUAUGGUAUCAAAGAGUGGAGUACUCAUACAGGAUAUCCUUGACGUCUCAAGUCUAGGGACCAUAUACACCAUUAGGACUACGAAAUCACUGUUUGACAAUAAGGCAUCAUCAACUAUCCAGUAUUCCGUAAGUAGAUCAAUCGAUGAACUCAUUCUUUAAUUAGUACUUGUAUUGUGUCCCUAGUGUCCCCACACGAGCAACUAUGAGACUAGCUGCAUCCAUCAUAUAGACGGGCAUACAACACACCAGUCUGUCCAGUUAUCUUGAUGUCCCUUUCGAGUAACAUAUGACCGAGAUUAUUUAGAAUAUGUGUUUAAAUGCGAAUUAGUCUUACUAUCGUGAUCUCAUCACGAUCUGAUUCCCAUUGCACAGAUUCAUAUACAUCACAAUAUAUUCGAGCAACAUAUAAUAUAAAGUGAUAAAAUACCAAAUAAUAAUAAUAACCAAAGAGUUUGCGUGUUAAGUCACACAUGUCAUCACUCACGUGAUUGGCUUAUAGGGUACUUAUGACUAGCAGAUGUCCCUCACGAGUAAUCUAUGACAAAGAAUAUUUAGAGUAUGUGUUUAUAGGCAAAUUUAUCUCAUUAUCCUGAUCUCAUCAUAAUCCAAUUCUCAUUGUAUAGAUCUAUAGACAUCACAAUAUAUCAAUCAGACAAUAUAAAGUGAGAAAAUUAUCAUAACAAUAAUAAUAAUAAUAAUGAUAACCAAAAAGACCGUGUAGCAUGUUACACAUGUCAUCACUCACAUGAUUGACUUAUAGGAUAUAUGUAACUAGCAUAACGUAGAUACUCAUCUAUCACUCUUAAUAUAUACUUUUAUGAUGGUGUCAAGUUCUCUCAUCUAUUUUGGUCUAUGAUAAAGAGGUCAUUAACGAUUGUACCUAAGGUACUUUAAAUAGUCAAUCAAUAUAUUAUCGUCGAGACAAUGAUCUUAUAUAAGUGUUAGGAACCAUACAAGAGGCUGCAACAGGAGUGGCCAUAAUUAGCCCGACCUAAAUGUCAUCACGGUGAAAAAGAAAUAAGCAACCAAAGUUACCUCACCUAAGGCUCAAGCUAACCUCUCUAAACAUAAGUGAAACUAAAACUUUCUUACAGAUAACGAAAAAUGAGCUCUUAAGAGGCCCCCAACCAAUGAAAACUUAACUGGCAAAAGAGAUAAGUCCAAGUACUGUCGGUUCCACUGAGAUUAUAAUCACAUCACAAUGUCAAAAAAUGUUGUGACCUGGAAGACUAAAUUAAAGAGCUUAUACAAUGAGGCACCUUGAGCAACUUAUUCGAAAGCAUUUAAAACUCUCACCCUAACCUUAGGGGCUAGUGGAGAGGCAGAUUGAUGUCAUCAUUAGUAAACCUACCUCGAGGGGACGGGUGGAUAGCUUCUCGAGCCGUAAGAUCUACCAUUAAAGAAUGCCAGAAGAUAGAGGGUGACCCAAAGAUAACUUUUAAGGAGGAAAAGAUAUAGUACCUUAACCCGAAUCAUAAUGAUGCCUUAGUGGCCUCUAUGAGGAUAAUUAACACUCGAAUGAAGAGGGUCAUGAUCGACAUAGACAGUUCUACUGACAUCAUUUAAUUAAAUACUUUUAAAAAAAUUAGGUUAUAAACUAAUGACCUUACUUCAAUGACUUCUUCGCUGAUUGUGUUCAUCAGUGACUCCAUCUCCCCUCUUAGGAUUGUAAACUUAUAAGUCAUAGCGAGCCUUACUCCAAGAUAAUAUUGAUUAAGUUCAUGAUGGUAGAUAUUUUCUUGACAUAAAAUGUGAUCAUACACGUAAACAGAAUAAAGGCGAUGGUGUUGACUUACCAUAUGGUGAUUAAGUUCUCAAUGAGAACUGACAUUGGAGAGUUGAGAGGUAAACCGAUGGAGUCAUGCCAAUGCUACCCGAUGAUAGUCUCCCUACCAAAGAAAGUCCAACCUAAGGCACCACCUAUGGACCCUUGAGACUUGGCAAGUAUAUCCCACAUGCUAAGCUAGUAGAGCUACUGAUUGAAGCACCUUUAGAUAAAAAGCCCAAUCCGAUCAAAUUGUUAAGGUCGAGGCGACCCUUCCUAAGGAGAAGCAAGUGUAGCUCAUCAACUUCCUGUGAGAUUUAUAUGAUCGUCAUGAGACAUAUCGGGAAUCGAUCCCAAUGUAACUCAGCAUCAUCUGAAUAUUCUCCUCGAGGCAUAAUCGAUGAAGCAAAUGUCUCGUUAGUUUGCUCUUGAUCGCUAACAACCAAUCAGUGAGGAAAUAGAUAAAUUGUUACGAGUAUAGUUCAUUGUUGAGGUUCAGUAGUUCGAAUGGCUCUUGUAUAGUCGUCCCGAUAGCUCGCCUACCUAAUUAUAGGUAUCUUUCUUUCUUUUAAGCAUUGAAUAAUCCAAAAGAUUUCUAAUAGAUCGAAGAGUACCAGGAUACGUAUGAGAAGUUGAAGGAUUACAUUCUAGGUCUCUACCUCACUAUCAUCAAUUUAACUAAUAAUAAUAAUAAUAAUAAUAAUAAUAAUAAUAAUAAUAAUAAUAAUAAUAAACUAAGAGAAUUAUCUUUGUAACACUAUUGAAAAAGUCGGAUGACUAAAAUAAACAUUCAAUCGCAAGAUUGAUGAUUUAAAUCUUGAUAAGAUAACUUUGAGUGAAUAUAUUUUUAAUUUAAUUUAAUUUAAUUUUUCUAUUUUAUUAUCACAUAGGAUUAUAAAGUUUGAAAAAAAUACAAUAUAUAUAUAUACAUAUACAUAUAUAUAAUUCUAAAAUUAUCGCGGAAUAUUUUAAUAAAGCAAUGAACCAAACUUUCCCUCGUCUUAAUGGGCUGAUAUCAGCACCUGACUCGAGCGCAAUGUGCGCAAAUGGCUCAUCACCUCCACCGGAACACAUCGCCACCGCCCUAUUUCCUUCGUUUCCCCUCGCCGGCGCUCCGCCUCUCCCUCCUCCUUAUCAUCACUCUCGCCCUCCUCUACGCCGCCUCCGUCUUUCUCCUCCACCCUUCCUCUUUCUCUCGACGCCUCCUCCCCCCUCCGCCUCCAUGCGGCGCGGCCGCCGCCGACCUCUCCGCCGGCAGAUGGGCCCGCGACAGCCCGCGGCCCCUCUACGACGGUUCCUGCCCUUUCCACCGCAACGCCUGGAACUGCCUCCGCAACGGACGCGAGGGCAUGGAUUCCAUCAACUCCUGGGUUUGGCUCCCCGACCGCUGUGGUGGGCAGCCGAUCCCACGGAUCGACCCAGCGGCGUUCCUCGGCUCGAUGAGAGGGCGAAAGAUCGGGUUCGUUGGCGAUUCGCUGAACGAGAACUUCUUGGUUGCGUUAUUAUGCACGCUGAGGUCGGCGGAUGGUGGGGCGAAGAAGUGGAAGCGGAAAGGGGCGUGGCGGGGUGGCUACUUCCCCAAGUUUGAUGUUGUCGUGGCUUAUCACCGCGCGGUGCUGCUCGCGAAGUACACGUAUGUGGCAUUGUUCUUUUUUCUCUUUGUCAUUGCUUUGCUUUGUGGAUCUCAGAUCAUGCAUCUCAAAUCUGCUUCUGGCUUGAGCUUGACUUCCGCUGAGUGCUAUCAUUUCAGCCAUGAUUCAGGACGUCUUUCAUGCUAGAUUAGUAAUGCACCUUCUUGGAUUCGCUUUUGGGGUUUUAUUUGCGGUGAAACUUGAAGUUAGAAGAUCCCUAAUCAAUAGAGCUAUACAAUAACGACACUCGAGUAACUUAUCUUGGUUUCGAGCCAUACAGUAACAACACCGGAGUAUCUAUGGUAGUGAAAACCAGACUUCUUUGUGAGAAUUAAUGAACAAGUGUUAGAACUAUGCAACAUAUAUUUAAGAAUCUGCAGACUCAUAUAUUGCUAUUUUAAAUGCUCAUGGUUGUUUUCAAUCUGGAAGUCUUCACAUAGCUGAACUGGCAAUUGCGACAUAUGUGGCACUUGCUUGACGGGUGUAUGUGAAUAUAAUACCGAAUCACUGGAUGAAGAAUUCAAUGACAAGUCAGGUGAUCCUGGAUUUAGUGUAUAUGCUACAAGGGUACAUAAUUACAGAAGAUUUUUGUAAAUGGUGUAUAACUUAUCAUGGUGCCUUCCUCUUACAGAGGGCAUUAUAUGCUCCACAAUAGCAGCUAGGUAACACCAAGUAAGCUUUAUCUCAUUCUAUCAAUUAUAAGCUGGGGGUGAGAUCACCCUGUUUUUGAUGAUUCCCAUAAACUGUAUCAGGGAAUUUGAACUGGUGAACUUAUUUUCUAAUGAAGCCCAUAGGGAAAAAAAACUGAGAAUAUGUUGUUAACUUUAGCUUUAAACAUUCUGACACUGCACGAAUAUCUUUUAGUGCUUCACACGGCUGUUGUAGAAAAUAUUGAGUAAUGUUGUUCAGCAUUCACUUAAAUUGAAAGGAUGGCCAUUACAUAUAAUUUUCCAGAAAAAGACUUUAAAUAGAAAACUUGUUCAUCUAUAUAAUAAAUUGUCUCAAAAGUUUGGGGACAAAUGUCACAUUUGUACAACAUGGCCAUGCAGGCAAUACGACAUUGUAUCCCUUUAACAUGGCCAGCAAAUGCAACAGCAUCUCAUCUUGUUCCCUACAUGAAGAUGAAGUUCUGGUUAUAACAUCUCAUGUCACUUAAAACUUAAAGCUGGAAAUGAAAUUCCCUUGGCCAAAUUACCUCUUCAUUAUUUAAGAGUUUUCAAUCGUUACAUGGUCAAUGAUGGAUCAUAACUCAAAUAUAGAAGGUUCUAUGAAUAAUUACAAAAUAUUAUAAUUGGUAUUGACUUGAUAACAAUUCUAUAUUGCAAAUUCUUCAAAAUAUAGGCAAGAGAAACUUAACAUGAAAGCCAGUGAAUUUUAAGAUCUGCAUUGCUCUUUAUCUUUUAAGCUCAAACAACCAGGGCAAGUAAUUCAUUAGAAAUAUCCCUCAAAUUCGGGAAAAGUCCUGAAGGAGGAAAAUGACAAGUUUUUUUUUUCUGUGUUUGAGAAAUAUUAGUUUUAUAAAUCAAAUAAGGAAUUGCUCCAAUACAUGAUCUUGGAGCAAUUAUACAGGAUGUAAUUAUCAGUUUAGACUGGUUGUAUCCUAAAUUGUGCUUACUCAUCAAAAUUUAUUUCACACUUAUCAUAUUGGAUGGUUGUCUUUAAAUAAAUUUUUAUUAGGAGAACAAAGAAUGCCCUAAGAAUACCAUCUAAUCCCUGGUGGUCCAUGCUGCUUCACUGUUAUGAUUCAUUUUGUUAUGGUUGCAACAAGCUUUUCCCAUCCUCCAAGAUUUAGUGCUCAUAUUAUGUACUAUAUAGACCCUAUGUCAUCUUAAAUGUGACACUUCAUCCACAAUCACAAUUGCAGUAUUAUUCAUCAGAAAUAUUGUCCUUGAGCUUUCUGAAAUAUGUAAAUGAAAAUUUCUUAUGCAUAGAGGUGAGAAUAAUAAUUAUCUCAGAGCUUUCACCAAAAAUAAUAGUCUGUUCUGAUCUAUGUAGUUAUUUGUGUCAUGUGGGUUGUUUUCUCCUUAUGUCACAUUAAUCGUCAGAUGUUUACAUGCUCAAACCUGUUGUUUAAGGUGGCAGCCUGUGGAUAACUCAGCUCAUCUUGGUCAAGAUGGAGUGAAGGGGACCUAUAAAGUUGAUAUUGAUGUGCCAGCUGAUGACUGGGCUAAUGUCACAAAGUUCUAUGAUGUCCUGAUAUUCAAUACUGGGCAUUGGUAAGUUCCAUCAUGCAUUUCUCUUGCUUCAUACACGUCAUCUUUGUGAUUGGUUUUCAUUCUACUGCAUUGGUUCAUGCUAGGUCCAACCAGUCAUUUGUUUGUUACUGUGCCUUGCUCAUCCUGGCAAGUGAUAGAAUGGUUUAAUCACGUCUGUGAAAAGAGUUGGGGAAUGCUGGUUUGUAGUGCCUGCACUAAUCAUAUAACUGUAAAAAUGGAUGCACACCAGCAUAUAUAACCCAGCUGAUGUUGAGAUGUGACCAGUACAUACCGGCACACUGCAGUGUUAAAUGGCAAUGGACCCCAAUAACCACUCAGCGACCACCAGCCUCAUGGUGGAGAUGCAAGCAUGUCUCUGACGUGCUUGUAUUUGGUACCUUGCUAUAAGUAAGAUUAUUGAAUAAAUAGCCACAAAUCUGAAAUAUUUCAAAACCAGUGAAUGCUUGUUGACAGUGGCGUUUGUGAACCAUAACCUUGUUCAAUGUUUCUAAAUUUUUCAUUUGCAUCCUAGUCAGUUGAUAUGCUUUUAUUUAUUCAAGUUUGCAUUAUGGCACAACAUGUAUAGUGUAUAUUGUGAUAUGUAUUGAGCCAUUAGCCAGCUUUUGGCUCUUUGUGUGGCCCUGUUUUUCAGUGACAAAUUUAGGCUUCAUUUAUUUGAAGGUUUAAAAUAAAAUAUUUAUGAAAAUUAAUGAACAUUCAUCUCUCUCUUUUGGUGUUUUACUUUUUCUGAUCUGGAGUAUUCAUCUGAUUAAUUGCAUAUUUGCUAUACAUUUUUUAAUAUUCUCUUUUUAUAACUAGUUUAGGGUUAUUGAUGAUAUUGUCAUUUGACAAACGUGACAUUUGCAAAAAUAUCCCCUAAAAUAAUGUUCAAAUGAGAAAUGAAGUAAAAUGAAAUUUAUUUCAGCCAUUGAUUAAUAGAGCUGAAUCAUGACACAGAGAAAUAGUACAAGGAAAAUAAUUACAUUCUUACUCAACAGACUGGUCCAAUUACAAGAUAGUCUCGGCUCAAGUUGUGUACCAAAUUUAUGUCAUUUAUAUACGGCCUUAAGAUGGACCACUUUAAAACUUAGUUUGGAUAAACUUGGUCUCAAGCCUUGUAUUGCAUUUACUGUGCAGGAUUUGUUCCUUGAUCAAUGUCAAAUUACAUUCUCCAUUGUACUAAAUCAAGCAUAAAUUAUAGUCACAAUUAAUUGUCAUUAUAUGUUAAAUAGAUUCCUGAGUAUAACUUAACUAGGGUUGCUGAUCAUGUUUGCAAUGUUGAAUUCCUGCAGAGAACAUGUUUAACACUAAUACUUGACAACAUUACAUUUUCAAAUUAUUGUUCAAUUAAGGAUGAUAUUUCUGCACUCUGAGAUGAUGAUGUUGUCCAUGUGAUUCUUCUUCCAUAGCUGCUCUUUGGGGAGCUUAAAGGCUUAUGUUACUCUUCUAUUGGUUCUUCUACAAAUGUAUCCUGCAAACUCUUGCUAUUCAUAAGCUACCCUAAGGAAUUACUAGUAGUACAAAUUGUCUACUGAAGACCACUGCACUGUUUCAUGGAGAUCAGUGUGAAGUUAAAUGUUUAUAAACAUUCUUUAGGAAAUUUUACUGAAUGUGGACAAAUACAAAAUGAUAUCAAGAAAUAUGCACUUUUUAUUGAGAGACAUGAAAAAUGUUUAUUUCCUUAUGCAAGUUCCUAGAUUGUGGUUAUUUCUAGGUUAAUACUUGUACUGUUCCUUGGGAAGGAAACAUUUAUGCACAUAUUGAAAUUAAAAUUAUAUCCAAAUCUGUAGUCAUAAGCAGCAAAAAUGAGCGAUCCCUUUCAAAUGAUGAAGCUCUCUAGAAAUAAAGUUAAAGAAAAAGAGCAAAUUAAGCAAUUAGCGAGCCUUUUUUAAGUAGAUUGAAUGAAUAUGUAUUUUACAUUGUCAUUGGCCAUGUGAUGCAAAUAUUUCUUCCAAAGCCUGUCAAGUGAAGUAACUAUGAUGUUUUUUUGUUUCUUUUCUUGUUUGUAGAUCAUUGCUUUUGUCAUACAUUACUUCUCAUUUGGUAAUAUCCACACUACUACGAUAUUAUUAAUUGACUAUAAUUUUGUUGCCUUUAAUUUAUGUGGUCAUGAGGCAAUAAAAGUGGGGAUAAUAUCUUAUGUUGUAGCUAGAUGAGAUGAGACAAUUAGUAUCAGUGGUGUGAGAAGAGGUAGAAGAAAUCAUAAAAAAAACUUUGUUAACACUAUCAUUAAAGGUUUUAAAUGCACUUAACUAAACCAAGAAUAUUGAUUUGAAACGAGCUCAAUGGUGGAAGAAGAUCCAUAUAGCCAACCCCAAAUAAUUAGGGUAUUACAGCUUGUUGUAGUUGUAGUUGUUGUAUCAGUUCAACUUAGAGCCUAUUUAAGUGCAUACAAAUGUUUGAGGUAAAAGAAUCACUUUCUGAUAGAUCUAUCUUUUGGAAGUUGACUUAAUAAUUUUGUUUUUUUUAAUUAUGGUUGAAGAAAAAUAUUUUUGUGGUAAUGUUUUUGUAAAAAAUGGAUUAUUUUGGAGAUCAUCAAUUGUCGGUAAUGUAAAAUUAUGGUUACCGGUCGAUGAUCUUUGGUUGUUCAUUCAUCGAUAAUUUGAUCCCAGUCAUUGAUCAUUUGUAAUUCAGAUCAAUCAGAAUUGAUGAAUGAUGAUCAUCAGCCAUUGACCUCUGGCCAGCUAGUGGUCAAAAUUAGGUUAUGGUCACCAAUCGACUUUGAUGUCAAUGUUAUCAAAUCAGAAUAUUUGGAAUUGGUCACUUUAAUAUAGUGCCCCUUCCCUUUGUUCACUCUUCUGUAAUGAUAUAUGUCCACUGUAGAAUUUGUGCAUCAAUUCAGCCUUCUGUUAAUUGUUUUCCUUUUAUUUGUUGUUAAUUAUUGUGCACAGUUCUGAUUCAAGCUUUACUUUGAUCAGAUCAUGUACAUACAUUUCUGUUUCAGUCCAUUAUUUCUCAUGGUUCAACACCUCAUCUAAUAUUUUAAUUUGGUCCAUUCUCUGUAAUUAAAUAAUAGUUUGCAUGGACUCAACCUCUUGGUUUCCAUGUGAUGGGUCAUAUUUUUCGAAAGUGUAUACAUAUAUAGAUGUUAUUUUAUUUGCACUAUGAAAGUGUUUCUUAUGUUUUGGGAGUUUCUGUAUCUGUUGUUCAUUAUGAAACAUGUAGUUCUCACUCUUAUAAGUUAUAACCUGCUUUGCCUGUUCUUGAGAUGAUUAUAUUGCUCUAUAACUUUUGUUUACGGGACCAAAUUAUUAAAGGCUGUUAUCUUAACCUACUGAAACAGGUGGGGCACUGAUAAAUUCCCAAAUGAGACACCACUUGUUUUUUAUCAGGGAGGAAAACCAUUAGACCCUCCACUUGGAAUCAUAGACGGACUCGAGGUAGUUCUGAAUAGUAUGAUCUCCUACAUUGAAAAAGAAGUCCCUGAAAAGACCCUCAAGUUUUGGCGUACUCAGUCACCGAGGCACUUCUUUGGUGGGGAAUGGGAUCACAAUGGCAGUUGCGUGUUCGGUGAGCCUCUGAAAGAGACCGAGGUAUAUAUGCUGAUUGAAUCUUGUUCUAAGCUUUGAAAGAUACAUUGUGGUUAGAAUACAUGUUUUUGACAGUUAUAUCUGAUGUCCUCCACAGCUCGAUUCAUGGUUUGACACCAAACGUAAGGGAGUCAAUAAGGAAGCAAGGGAAGUAAACUCUCUGAUUCAACAAGCAUUGCUAGGUACAAACAUAAGGUCACUAGACCUGACUCAUAUGAGUGAGUUCAGAGCAGAUGCACAUCCAGCAAUCUGGUUGGGCAAGAAGGACGCUGUGGCAAUCUGGGGCCAGGACUGCAUGCAUUGGUGCCUCCCGGGCCUUCCGGAUACUUGGGUCGAUAUCUUGACUGCCCAGAUCAUAUACAACUUAGAACUGGGCUGACAAACGUGCAGAAGCAAGCAGCAUCUUAUGGGGCAUGCCGAUGUCUUACAGUCACCCAGAAACUAAUCAUCUGAAGUUUGGUCCAUCUGGUUACCAUUUAGUUGCUUGUAUCUUCUUCCUAUAUUUUUUUUGACAAGAUCAUUCAUAAUUUUCUUCCCACAAAAUCAUUCAUAAUCUUCGGAUAGAAAUGUAAUCAUACACUUUUACUUUUAUUCUGUCCCCUUAUUAUGGGGGCAGCGGCUUUAAUGCAAAUCUCGUGGGCCAACAAAUGUUAUUUCUGGGCAAAUUCUAGGCAGCUUUCAAUUGUGUUAACAUUUUUGUUGAUGUCAGAAUCUUAGUAUCUGUCUUUUAGCUUUAUGUUUUGUAUGUGUUAUAUCUAAUCCUAUGGUGUACACAAUUGUAAUUCUCAGUUCACACAGGUAUUCUUGUAGUUCUUUCCCUCUUCCAAAAUUUUUUGUUGAUGUAUAUUUAAGACUUUUACUGAAACUGAGGGUUAAUUUGACUUGAAGAUGAUUGGAGAAUGACCAGAGACACUGUCUUGGAUCGACAACGGUUUCUGAUGAGGUAUUGGCUUGUGUCUUCCCCAAUUUUCUCUUGAUUACAAAUGAUUUCAGGUGGUAGAACAUCUUUUGACAGAUCUAAAAUGGGUUAUCAAUCUUAUAAAGUUGUGUUCUUUUUCCCGGAACUAAGAAGAUUUAUAUCAUCUUUUCUUGUGGACAGGUUCCGAGUUGUUGCAACUUUCCACAGCUAUGUUUCCAGAUCAAUGCAGCGGAGUUCGGAAGGUUUGGUCCCCUCGUCGAAGAACCAGAGCUCUCAGCCGGUGCACCACCGUCGUCCCCGGAAUAACGUCGCGCAAGUUAUAAUGGUAAUCCAACAUACCAUCAACUUUUGAUGUCGACAAUUGUAGAUAUCAUUACCAAUAUUUAUUAACUAAACCAAAAUUUGAAGAAUAUAUUUCUCGAUACAUUUAUUUAUUUUUAUCCUAUAGAGAAAGGAAGAGUGAUUUAUUUUACACAGCCCACAAUCAUGUAUUCUUAGGAGAUUUGUGACCAUCUGGAUUGCAGCAGACAUGAUAUUCUGUGACCAUAAAUGCUGUUCGUAAAGCGAAUUAGACAUGAGAUUCUGUGACUAUCACUUGGAUUUUGAAUGACCCUUUGCUUGUGCUUCCUUUAAUGAACCUUUUUGCUUGCACUCUCUUCCAUGAACUGUCCCUUUCAGGUCUCUCUUAUCAGACAUCAAUCAACCAUGCGCUGUGUAGCACAGUGAUAUUUGACGGCCAUGAGCGAUGGUAAGAAAGCAGAUCAAAUAUAUCAUAGAGAAGAGACUAUUGCUCCUCCUUAUUGGAGACAUAAGCACUCACAGAUUACACUCUCAGCCUUGCAUCGGACAAUGCUUAUUGCAUCACACCAAAGCAAACCAAAGCAGGUAGAUCGAGACCAGUUUAGUUCCAGCAGACGCAUCUGGUAACGCCGGGAGUCGCUCUUAUUUUGGCGCAGCUACGAUAACAUCAUGCGAGUUGCCGUGCGCCCUCACGAGCUUCAGCAAGUCCGAGGUCACGCCCAGAGAUGCUUCGAGGACGUCGGCGUUUGUGAGGCUCAGCGGCGACGUCUUCCCCACCACCGGGUGGAAGAUGGGCCUGCAGAGAACGCAUGAGGAGCUUCGCAUCAGAGCGUCAAGGACCUGAAGCUUUAAGUCGCUUCUCGUUACCUCUCACUGGUGAUGAUGGAGAACCACUCCAACCCCUCGCUGCCCGCGACCGCCGCCAUCACGUAGAACUUCUGCACCACGAACACGCAUCCUGCUGCCACCUCCUUGUCCAUGAUGGUGGCGCCGUUGACUCCGCUGAUCUGAACUUGUCCGCUGCCUCUGGUGAUGUACACGAGCUGGAUGUCGGGGAAGAACCCCGGGACGCGCAUGGCGUUGGGCUCGAGCUUGGUGAUGUUGAUGGAGAACCUGAACCGCCCUUCCAGGGCGGCGAGGUUGUCCUUGGUCAUCGACACGACGUGGCCGCCACAGGGGACGUGGUUGCUGAACCGGGCGCUGUCCUCGUGCAGGACGAUCCCGUGGCGGUCGCGGUCGUGAGUCUUGACGCACAGCUUCUUCUCCGGUUUGAUGAUCUGGAUGCCGGCCUGGCUCGAGAAGAGCUUGGCCGCCGCUUCUUGGCUCACUCCGCUGGCCUUGGCGAGGAAGUCCGUGGAGAGGCCAUUGUAGACCGCCGCUUGGCCUGCAACUAAGAAGUAGGUGAUCAAGCCCUGGGUGAGACCGGCGGCGCCGUCGCCCAGGUAUAUGAUGGAGAAGUCGGUGUCCCCGUCGUUGUACCACCAUGU
rnacentral:lncRNA from 1 species